rnacentral:piRNA from 1 species
UUAAGCCACUGAAGCUCAAUGCUUCGAU